UGAAUCCGCGCGGGAGAGUCCCCGGGUCCCCUCUGGACCGCCCGGGGCGCCGAAGGAGCAAGUCCCUCCCUUGAAUCUCUCAGGCCCCGUUACCGCGCGGGCGAG
rnacentral:ncRNA from 1 species